rnacentral:tRNA from 1 species
GCGCGAUUAGCUCAGUUGGUAGAGCACCUGACUCUUAAUCAGGGUGUCCAGGGUUCGAACCCUGAUCGCGCACUA